rnacentral:lncRNA from 1 species
GCAUUCUUCUACAUGUCAUUCUGUUCCCUUAAAGAAGGUUAACUUAUUUUCCUAUUAAUAGGUUUACUACUGUGAGAGCAUUUCAGUUCUUUUAACAGAAUAAAAGCCAUGGAGAGGUAAACAGUGUAUAUUACAUGCAUAUUAUAUUGUAUAUUACAGCAUAUUACAUGCAGAAUGAACUUUGAUAUAUGUUAGUUGAAAUGUUGUAUAUGAACCAAUUUAUACCUAAAUCCAGUUUAUAGCAUAAAACCAAUGCACUUCAUAGCUCAGUGCCUAUGGUAUUGCUGUUGGAGUGGCAGGGUUGAGGCUGUGCCAGGCCCUGGGCGUGGCUGUGCUGCCCUGGGCCUGCUCAGGGCUGAGCUGGGUUACCCCGGCACCCCACGGGCCAGUGCCCGUUACCGGGCCUGGCUGAGCUUCAGCUCUGUGAGUGCCCCAGGGGGGGAAAGGGCUGACAGCCCCAGGCCAUCCCUGCAGGGCACACAGCCCUGGAGGCACAGGUGCAGCUGA